AACAUCAGUAGGUGGCAAUGGCCUGAGGCUUAGCCAGUGGCACAGCCAAGCUAUCUAACCAAUGCAAUGAGUAAUUUAAACAACCUCCUGGGGAAUAUCCACUCACUGUUUCCUGCUCCCAGGGGAGAUAUGCAUGACGCUAACAUAAUAAAGAUUCAUCCUUGAGACCAUGACUUUCUGUAGAUAAACGAGUUACUGAGUUGAAAUGGUAGAAACUCACCUUGCCUAUCGUUUACACCCAUUCAAUGCCUUCUGAUAUCUGUGCCAUCUCCAUGGUCUAAACAUGUAGGUAGCUACUGGUUACAGGUUAAUGUGUGCCAUCUCCAUGGUCUAAACAUGUAGGUAGCUACUGGUUACAGGUUAAUGUGUGCCAUCUCCAUGGUCUAAACAUGUAGGUAGCUACUGGUUACAGGUUAAUGUGUGCCAUCUCCAUGGUCUAAACAUGUAGGUAGCUACUGGUUACAGGUUAAUGUGUUCCAUCUCCAUGGUCUAAACAUGUAGGUAGCUACUGGUUACAGGUUAAUGUGUGCCAUCUCCAUGGUCUAAACAUGUAGGUAGCUACUGGUUACAGGUUAAUGUGUUCCAUCUCCAUGGUCUAAACAUGUAGGUAGCUACUGGUUACAGGAUACAGGUUAAUGUGUUCCAUCUCCAUGGUCUAAACAUGUAGGUAGCUACUGGUUACAGGUUAAUGUGUUCCAUCUCCAUGGUCUAAACAUGUAGGUAGCUACUGGUUACAGGUUAAUGUGUUCCAUCUCCAUGGUCUAAACAUGUAGGUAGCUACUGGUUACAGGUUAAUGUGUGCCAUCUCCAUGGUCUAAACAUGUAGGUAGCUACUGGUUACAGGUUAAUGUGUGCCAUCUCCAUGGUCUAAACAUGUAGGUAGCUACUGGUUACAGGUUAAUGUGUUCCAUCUCCAUGGUCUAAACAUGUAGGUAGCUACUGGUUACAGGUUAAUGUGUGCCAUCUCCAUGGUCUAAACAUGUAGGUAGCUACUGGUUACAGGUUAAUGUGUUCCAUCUCCAUGGUCUAAACAUGUAGGUAGCUACUGGUUACAGGAUACAGGUUAAUGUGUUCCAUCUCCAUGGUCUAAACAUGUAGGUAGCUACUGGUUACAGGUUAAUGUGUUCCAUCUCCAUGGUCUAAACAUGUAGGUAGCUACUGGUUACAGGUUAAUGUGUUCCAUCUCCAUGGUCUAAACAUGUAGGUAGCUACUGGUUACAGGUUAAUGUGUUCCAUCUCCAUGGUCUAAACAUGUAGGUAGCUACUGGUUGUAGGUAGCUACUGGUUACAGGUUAAUGUGUGCCAUCUCCAUGGUCUAAACAUGUAGGUAGCUACUGGUUACAGGUUAAUGUGUGCCAUCUCCAUGGUCUAAACAUGUAGGUAGCUACUGGUUACAGGUUAAUGUGUGCCAUCUCCAUGGUCUAAACAUGUAGGUAGCUACUGGUUACAGGUUAAUGUGUGCCAUCUCCAUGGUCUAAACAUGUAGGUAGCUACUGGUUACAGGUUAAUGUGUGCCAUCUCCAUGGUCUAAACAUGUAGGUAGCUACUGGUUACAGGUUAAUGUGUUCCAUCUCCAUGGUCUAAACAUGUAGGUAGCUACUGGUUACAGGAUACAGGUUAAUGUGUUCCAUCUCCAUGGUCUAAACAUGUAGGUAGCUACUGGUUACAGGUUAAUGUGUUCCAUCUCCAUGGUCUAAACAUGUAGGUAGCUACUGGUUACAGGUUAAUGUGUUCCAUCUCCAUGGUCUAGACAUGUAGAUAGCUACUAGUUACAACCUACAGGUUAAUGUGGAAUGUGUGGUACAACAGCAGCAGCAGUGU